AGAUUGAACGCUGGCGGCAGGCCUAACACAUGCAAGUCGAGCGGCAGCACGGGUACUUGUACCUGGUGGCGAGCGGCGGACGGGAGAGUAAUGCCUAGGAAUCUGCCUGGUAGUGGGGGAUAACGCUCGGAAACGGACGCUAAUACCGCAUACGUCCUACGGGAGAAAGCAGGGGACCUUCGGGCCUUGCGCUAUCAGAUGAGCCUAGGUCGGAUUAGCUAGUUGGUGAGGUAAUGGCUCACCAAGGCGACGAU
rnacentral:rRNA from 1 species